UACGAAGGUGGCUAGCGUUGUUCGGAUUUACUGGGCGUAAAGCGCACGUAGGCGGACUAUUAAGUCAGUGGUGAAAUCCCGGGGCUCAACCCCGGAACUGCCUUUGAUACUGGUAGUCUUGAGUUCGAGAGAGGUGAGUGGAAUUCCGAGUGUAGAGGUGAAAUUCGUAGAUAUUCGGAGGAACACCAGUGGCGAAGGCGGCUCACUGGCUCGAUACUGACGCUGAGGUGCGAAAGCGUGGGGAGCAAACAGG
rnacentral:rRNA from 1 species